rnacentral:rRNA from 1 species
CUACGGGCGGCAGCAGUGGGGAAUAUUGCACAAUGGGCGCAAGCCUGAUGCAGCCAUGCCGCGUGUGUGAAGAAGGCCUUCGGGUUGUAAAGCACUUUCAGCGGGGAGGAAGGCGGUGAGGUUAAUAACCUCAUCGAUUGACGUUACCCGCAGAAGAAGCACCGGCUAACUCCGUGCCAGCAGCCGCGGUAAUACGGAGGGUGCAAGCGUUAAUCGGAAUUACUGGGCGUAAAGCGCACGCAGGCGGUCUGUCAAGUCGGAUGUGAAGUCCCCGGGCUCAACCUGGGAACUGCAUUCGAAACUGGCAGGCUAGAGUCUUGUAGAGGGGGGUAGAAUUCCAGGUGUAGCGGUGAAAUGCGUAGAGAUCUGGAGGAAUACCGGUGGCGAAGGCGGCCCCCUGGACAAAGACUGACGCUCAGGUGCGAAAGCGUGGGGAGCAAACAGGAUUAGAUACCCCUGUAGUC